GUGAGGAAUAUUGGUCAAUGGGCGGGAGCCUGAACCAGCCAAGUCGCGUGAAGGAAGAAGGAUCUAUGGUUCGUAAACUUCUUUUGCAGGGGAAUAAAGUGCAGGACGUGUCCUGUUUUGUAUGUACCCUGAGAAUAAGGAUCGGCUAACUCCGUGCCAGCAGCCGCGGUAAUACGGUGGAUCCGAGCGUUAUCCGGAUCUAUUGGGUUUAAAGGGUGCGUAUGUGGUUUGAUAAGUCAGCGGUGAAAGUUUGCAGCUUAAGUGUAAAAAUGCCGUUGAAGCUGUCGGACUUGAGUGUAAAUGAGGUAGGCGGAAUGCGUGGUGUAGCGGUGAAAUGCAUAGAUAUCACGCAGAACUCCGAUUGCGAAGGCAGCUUACUAAGCUACAACUGACACUGAAGCACGAAAGCGUGGGGAUCAAACAGGAUUAGAAACCCGGGUAGUCC
rnacentral:rRNA from 1 species